rnacentral:rRNA from 1 species
UAGGGAAUCUUCGGCAAUGGGGGGAACCCUGACCGAGCAACGCCGCGUGAGUGAAGAAGGUUUUCGGUUCGUAAAGCUCUGUUGUUAAGGAAGAACGAGUGUGAGAAUGGAAAGUUCAUGCUGUGACGGUGCUUAACCAGAAAGGGACGGCUAACUACGUGCCAGCAGCCGCGGUAAUACGUAGGUCCCGAGCGUUGUCCGGAUUUAUUGGGCGUAAAGCGAGCGCAGGCGGUUAGAAAAGUCUGAAGUGAAAGGCAGUGGCUCAACCAUUGUAGGCUUUGGAAACUGUUUAACUUGAGUGCAGAAGGGGAGAGUGGAAUUCCAUGUGUAGCGGUGAAAUGCGUAGAUAUAUGGAGGAACACCGGUGGCGAAAGCGGCUCUCUGGUCUGUAACUGACGCUGAGGCUCGAAAGCGUGGGGAGCGAACAGG